GGGGAAUAUUGCACAAUGGAGGAAACUCUGAUGCAGCGACGCCGCGUGAGUGAAGAAGGUCUUCGGAUCGUAAAACUCUGUCCUUGGUGACGAAAAAAAUGACGGUAGCCAAGGAGGAAGCCCCGGCUAACUACGUGCCAGCAGCCGCGGUAAUACGUAGGUGGCAAGCGUUGUCCGGAUUUACUGGGCGUAAAGAGUAUGUAGGCGGACAUUUAAGUCAGAUGUGAAAUCCCCGGGCUUAACCUGGGAGCUGCAUUUGAUACUGGGUGUCUAGAGUGUAGGAGAGGAAAGUGGAAUUCCUAGUGUAGCGGUGAAAUGCGUAGAGAUUAGGAAGAACACCAGUGGCGAAGGCGACUUUCUGGACUAUAACUGACGCUGAGAUACGAAAGCGUGGGGAGCAAACA
rnacentral:rRNA from 2 species